UGGAGCAUGUGGUUUAAUUCGAAGCAACGCGAAGAACCUUACCAGGUCUUGACAUCCCGAUGCUAUUUCUAGAGAUAGAAAGUUACUUCGGUACAUCGGUGACAGGUGGUGCAUGAUUGUCGUCAGCUCGUGUCGUGAGAUGUUGGGUUAAGUCCCGCAACGAGCGCAACCCCUAUUGUUAGUUGCCAUCAUUCAGUUGGGCACUCUAGCGAGACUGCCGGUAAUAAACCGGAGGAAGGUGGGGAUGACGUCAAAUCAUCAUGCCCCUUAUGACCUGGGCUACACACGUGCUACAAUGGUUGGUACAACGAGUUGCGAGUCGGUGACGGCGAGCUAAUCUCUUAAAGCCAAUCUCAGUUCGGAUUGUAGGCUGCAACUCGCCUACAUGAAGUCGGAAUCGCUAGUAAUCGCGGAUCAGCACGCCGCGGUGAAUACGUUCCCGGGCCUU
rnacentral:rRNA from 1 species